CUUGCUAGUCUAAGUCAACUUUUAAGCAUGUUUACAUGUAAAUAAGGGUAUGACAGUAGUUAAUAAUGAAUUGUAAAACUAUUUACGGAUAAGUGAUAUCGAUUUAACGUAAUAAUAGAACUUCUAUGAAGUUAUUUAUGAAACAAUCAGCCUUUGAUGUUCGUACAAAGAACUUUCGUACACAGUGUCAGGCAAGAUAAAAAAAAUUACAACAACAAUGAACAAUUUCAACAAAUGUCUGGAUACCACAAUAUGAUUUCGAACCCAUGGUAAUGCGUGAAUUGAAGUCAGACACCUUACCACCAUGCAACAGUAUCAUCGUGUGAAGUUACAUUAACACAGAUAACACAGAAGAGAUGCAGGUCUUUGUUCUACAUGGUGAUUGAUGGAACCAUGGUGCAGUUUUGAAUUUAUAAGUUAAAGAAAUGCAGAACAGCUACAGACCAUGAAAUUUAGAAAAUGAAGAGAUGCCUGUCUCAGUUCAGCAUGGUGUAUAUGGGAAACAUUGUGGGUCGCAGACAUGAAAUGAUUUAUGUGAAGUAAAAGUAAAGAAGAAUGGCUACAGACAAUUAGUUCAGAAUUGAAGAAGAGAUGUAGGUCUUUGUUCUAUAUGGUGUAUGAGGGAACCAUGGUGGAAAUUUGGAUUUCAUGGCAGUCAUAGAAAUAUCUAAUAAGUCUGUAGGACAGUGAUGUGUGUACCAGUCUGUCAGGCUAUUACGUGUCUCUUUCAAAUCGAAAAAUUUGCAAUGGAUGCAUAGAUUCUCAAAUAAUUUGGCAGAGUUUUUACAGUUAUUAAGGCAGAUUGCAAAAGACUUUUGUACCCAAAACUUGAAAUGAGAGCGCUUGAACAAUGUGAAGUUUGUCGCAUAGAUGGGAUCGACCGCCUUUGUAUAUAUAAGUCUACAACUUCUCAGAUUUGACCGAAGACAAUUGUUUGGUGUUGUGAAUGGAGAAAUAUAUGAAGUAGAGCUCUGCAGUUUUCCAUAAACACAUUAAGAAGUUCACAUUUUUUGCACAGAUUCGUGACUCACAUAUAUGGCCUUGAAGGAAUUGUUACAGCAAAAGUGUAAAAAGGAUAUGGUGGAAUUGCAAUUCCUGGUGUUGUUUUUGGUGUGUUGAUGGGAGGUGUUCUAUUAAAAAGGUUCCAGAUGGGACCUAAAGGUAAUAAGAAAAUGUUGUUUUAGCUCUUGAUAAUAUCAGUUAUAA
rnacentral:lncRNA from 1 species